AACGAACGCUGGCGGCAGGCUUAACACAUGCAAGUCGAACGAACUCUUCGGAGUUAGUGGCAGACGGGUGAGUAACGCGUGGGAAUAUACCUUUCGGUACGGAACAACAGUUGGAAACGACUGCUAAUACCGUAUGCGCCCUAUGGGGGAAAGAUUUAUCGCCGAAGGAUUAGCCCGCGUUGGAUUAGCUAGUUGGUGGGGUAAAGGCCUACCAAGGCGACGAUCCAUAGCUGGUCUGAGAGGAUGAUCAGCCACACUGGGACUGAGACACGGCCCAGACUCCUACGGGAGGCAGCAGUGGGGAAUAUUGGACAAUGGGGCAACCCUGAUCCAGCCAUGCCGCGUGAGUGAUGAAGGCCCUAGGGUUGUAAAGCUCUUUCAGCGAGGAGGAUAAUGACGUUACUCGCAGAAGAAGCCCCCGGCUAACUUCGUGCCAGCAGCCGCGGUAAU
rnacentral:rRNA from 1 species